GACAGAGGGUGCAAACGUUGCUCGGAAUCACUGGGCGUAAAGGGCGUGUAGGCGGGAAGGAAAGUCAGAUGUGAAAUCCCCAGGCUCAACCUGGGAACUGCAUUUGAAACUCCCUUUCUUGAGUACCGGAGAGGAAAGUGGAAUUCCUGGUGUAGAGGUGAAAUUCGUAGAUAUCGGGAGGAACACCAGUGGCGAAGGCGGCUUCCUGGCCUGUUCUUGACGCUGAGGCGCGAAAGCUAGGGGAGCAAACGGG
rnacentral:rRNA from 1 species